ensembl:snRNA U1 U1 spliceosomal RNA
AUACUUACCUGGCAGGGGAAACACCAUGAUCACGAAGGUGGUUUUCCCAGGGCGAGGCUCACCCAUUGCACUGCGGGUGUGCUGACCUCUGCGAUUUCCCCAAAUGCGGGAAACUAGACUGCGUAAUUUGUGGUAGUGGGGGACUGCGUGCGUGUUCUUCACCUCCCCCCC